rnacentral:rRNA from 1 species
UACGAAGGGGGCUAGCGUUGUUCGGAAUUACUGGGCGUAAAGCGCACGUAGGCGGAUAUUUAAGUCAGGGGUGAAAGCCCAGGGCUCAACCCUGGAAUUGCCUUUGAUACUGGCGAUCUUGAGUACGGGAGAGGUGUGUGGAACUCCGAGUGUAGAGGUGAAAUUCGUAGAUAUUCGGAAGAACACCAGUGGCGAAGGCGACACACUGGCCCGUUACUGACGCUGAGGCGCGAAAGCGU